GCAAGUCUGGUGCCAGCAGCCGCGGUAAUUCCAGCUCCAAUAGCGUAUAUUAAAGUUGUUGCAGUUAAAAAGCUCGUAGUUGAACUUCGGGAUCAAUAUUUCGGUCAUGCCGUUGGUAUGCACUGUUAUCAUUGAUUUCUCACCUUCUAAAGAACCAUAAUGCCAUUAAUUUGGUGUUACGGGGAAUUAGGACUGUUACCUUGAAAAAAUUAGAGUGUUUAAAGCAGGCUCACGCUUGAAUACAUUAGCAUGGAAUAAUGAAAUAGGACAUCCGAUUCUAUUUUGUUGGUUUCUAGGAUCGAUGUAAUGAUUAAUAGGGAUAGUUGGGGGCAUUAGUAUUCAAUUGUCAGAGGUGAAAUUCUUGGAUUUAUUGAAGACUAACUACUGCGAAAGCAUUUGCCAAGGAUGUUUUCAUUAAUCAAGAACGAAAGUUAGGGGAUCGAAGACGAUCAGACACCGUCGUAGUCUUAACCAUAAACUAUGCCGACUAGGGAUCGGAUGAUGUUAAUUUUUUAAUGACUCAUUCGGCGCCUUACGGAAAC
rnacentral:rRNA from 1 species